GAUUGAUUUUGAGUAUUGGAGGGCUGAAAAUGGACUUUCCCACCCCGUUCAUGAGUGAGGUAUGAAAAACAGAUGAAGCUAAUUUUGUUAAGCACAGUGUUAUUGUGAAUUGCCCCUACAUAAAAUCGACUCAGUUGGGCUGAUUUAAAUUUCUUGUAAAACAUAACAACAUUGUCCCCUUCAGAAAACCAGCAUGAUUGUAGCUAAAAGAGCCUGGAAAUCACCAUCUCUCCCCUUGUUUAGGGUUUGGCUAUGUGAGAGGAUUGCAUGUUUGUGUAGUGAAGAGGUUCGCUAUCAUCUGGCUGACACUUUUGAAUUUGUUGAAAUCUCUGACCCUUUUCUCAAUCAUAUUAACAGGGAUUCAACAUAAUCUGUAACCCAUUUGACUGCACUUUGUGUUUAUGUGAAACUACACCUCUGCCGGACACUGAUUCCUUCCUGGACUUGUUCCCCACAUCUUCUGGGCUCAGUGAACUCCCCUAGACAGCUGUCUAACUUCACACAGAAGAUCAUUUUCUUCAGACUAGCAUUUCUCUUGAACUUUUGAUUUGGACUGACUAAGCAGUCUUUCUCUGUGUUUAGAUGUUGUUGUUGUUGUUGUUGUUUUUUCCAAAUUUGCCAAAUUCUCAUGUACGUCACAAUUUUCUCACAGCAAAGUCAAACAAAUUAGUGACAGUGAAUAUGGAAAAGGUUUCUUCAUUCACUGCAACACACCUUUGCACAUGGGCCCGUGAGCGCAUGUGUUGUGCUAUAUGAAUUUUGACAAUAUGAUGCGGCGUUUAUGAAGGGACUGAGAAGGAAAAGGUAUUUAAUUAAGAGCAAAUUUCAUUUUUAAAAAAAAAACAGAUCUACACUCACACCUUUGCGCGUGCGCACACGAAGUGCUGCUCUUAUGGAACGCGCGUGCGUCAUAUUCGAUUUGUGCAUUUAUCUUUUGUAACGUCACCUAAAAGCUGCAGUUUGAAAUUUUUCUUCUGCACCUACAUUUUCUGGUUCAGAUGAGUUCAGCGAGAAGCGCUAACGGUCCAAAUUCACGGAAAAGCACACUUAGUGAUUCAGUUUCUUCAACUUUCGUUUUAAGUGAAGCCAUGUUGAGAAGAAGCCAAAGACUUCAGUCUAACGGCUAUUACGGCAGCCAAGGAGAGCCGUUAAUCUCCUACAAGGACACUUUGUGCAGGCGACAGCCCCGUCCCUGUCCAGUCCCUGACAAUAAUGACCAAGACACAGUUGAAUACAACUAUGAUGACUGUGACACUGUGGACUACAACUAUGAUGACUGUGACACUGUGGACUACAACUAUGAUGACUGUGACACUGUGGACUACAACAACGAUGAUCGUGACAUUGUGGACUACAGCAACAAUGAUUUUGUUGACUACAGUAGUGACAGCAGCAGAGGUCUCUUUAGAGCCAUCAAGGCACUGGGACUUUUGGUCCUCAUACUGGCCUUGUGUUUUGGAUUGAUUUUGAGUAUUGGAGGGCUGAAAAUUGACUUUUCCACCCCGUUCAUGAGUGAGUACUUGGUGAGCGGACAUGAACGGGUGGAAAGGCAGGUACAAGACAUUCAGGAUACCCGACCACAGUGCAGAUUUCAUCCGCUACGUCACACUGCAUCUACUGAACAAGUGGGGCAAUUGCGAGUACUCCUGUCGACACAGCUUUCCAGUUCAAAGAAAGCUGGCAUAACCAAAUUCCCAUGAAACCAUCUUUAAAAGAAAAGAGAGGAAAAAUGUGAAAGUGAAUCAGACUGCAACACAUAUUGAAAUAAUUGUAUUUGAAAAAAAAGUCCAUUUAACCCAUUUUUUUCCUGCAGCGAACGUCCAUCCUACCAGGUAAGACAUGUCUGAUUAAGAUGUUUGCAGUCUGAUUCACCUCACCCCCAACCAGCCGUGGCAGAGGGCUUGCCCCUCCCUGAGCCUGGCUCUGCCAGAGGUUUCUUCCUGUUAAAAGGGAGUUUUUCCUCUCCACUGUUGCCAAGUGCUUGCUCAGAGGGGAUCAUCUGAUUGUUGGGGUUUUCCUUCUCUUAUAUUGUAGGGUUUUUACUCUACAUAGACAGUGCUUAACAAGUUUAUUACAUCACCUGUCAUAAAAAUAAGAACACCCCAAAUUUUUUAAACCUGUAAUUCUUACAUUAGGUGAUGUUCGACUAACUUUGUUAAGCACUGUGUUAUUGUGAAUUGGCCCUCAAUUGGAACUCAGCUGGACUGAAUUAAAUUUCUUGUAAAACAUAAAAGUUCUCUAAAUUGCCUCCACUGGAAAUUUAGAGAUAUUUUUAAAACAACAAGAAUAAAAUUUUAAGAAGAUAUUUUUCAUGUCUUUUGUUAUUCUUAAUUGUCAGUGUAUAUUAAACAAGCGUGAUAACACUAUGGCCGCAGGAACAUUUAAACUCCCAAAAGUAAAAAAAAAGUAAAGUCCAU
ensembl:lncRNA